rfam:Schistosoma rodhaini strain Burundi genome assembly, scaffold: SROB_scaffold0011338
AUCCAGCUGACUCGUCCCAAAUAGAACGAGGCGCGCGUCCUGGAU